rnacentral:lncRNA from 1 species
CAAUAACGAAAGAAAGACAAUCCUUUUAUCACCAGAAAAUAAGUGUUAGUUUUCAGACAACACUUCCGCAUCUCGAUGCCUGGGUGAUGUUUUUCAGUGACCAACACAGGACUUAGGAAAAGACGUCGUGUCAUGCUGUUCAAGGUCACUGAGAUCUGGCCUUGCCCCCAGGUGUCAGAGAAAAGGCCAUGUGAGGACAUAGAAGGAAAGUGGCCAACUCUGAGCCAGGAAGAAAGCCCUCACCAUAAAUUGAAUCAGCUGGCACCUUGAUCAUGGACUUCCAGCCUCCAGAACUACCCACUGAGGAAGACCAAGCAGGAGUUGCUUCAGAGGAGGCAUGGAUACGAACGUGGAGAGGGGAGAAGGAGAAGCCACUGCCUUGAGGAGAGUUAAGUGUCCUUUGAGACGGGAGUUAAGAUGUGCAAACAGAGGCCUAGGACAAGGAAAAUGAUCUGACUGAGAGUCCAGGGUAAACAGCAUUUGCGGAGAUUCAUAUGUAUCUGCACACACACCCUGAUCACUAAAAUUUAUCUAGACCUUUGCUAGACACUUGCGAAAGUGUGAUCCACCGGCCAGUAGCAUCAGUAUUACCUGGGAACUUGUUAGAAAUACAAAUUCUCAGGUCCUUCCCCAGACCUAAUGACUCAGCAACCUCAGGUGUUUCUUGUGCAUCUUAAAUUUGAGAAGUCCUUCUCUAGAAGGCUGAUUGGAGCUGGAAGUGGGAUGUAGUUGAAGAGGCUGGGGGCAUGUUUUAAUCCUGGCUUCAGAGGAUCAGAAUAAAAUCCAC